rnacentral:lncRNA from 1 species
CGCGGCCACACCCCUGUCUACUUCCAUGUCCAAUAGGUGCGAGAGGGCGGGGCAGCCUCGUUCUGACUGGGGAGGCUAUAUAAGGAGCUACUGGUUGCGCGUCUCGGUCUUUUACGUAGGCCUUCGUGAUCGUUUGGUUGUGUGGAACAAUGGCGCUGUCAUGGCCCAGCAGAGCAGCUCUGAAGAUGCAAAGAUACAUGAAAGAAUUCCAGAAUAUGCGGGAGAAUAUUUAAUGGAAAACCGCUUGGUUAAACCUGACACUCUUCAUGGCAUUCUGGGUGUGGACGAUCAGCCAGUGAAGAUAAUGAAUGUCGGAUGUCACUGACUAGCAGCUUCAUUUUGAAUGAGGGUCGCUGUCUGCCCAUUGAUAAGAGGCCAGAUUGUCUUGGAAGUUCCAAAGUUGCAACUAUUUCU